rnacentral:piRNA from 1 species
UCACGGAAUUGCACGGAAUUU